rnacentral:rRNA from 1 species
AGAAGCAGCCAUUCAUUAAAAGAGUGCGUAAUAGCUCACUAGUCGAGAGAUCUUGCGCCGAAAAUGUAACGGGGCUAAACUUACCACCGAAGCUACGGGCUUGAACUUAGUUCAAGCGGUAGGAGAGCGUCGUAACCGGGCUGAAGUCGUACCGUAAGGAGCGGUGGACUGGUUACGAGUGAGAAUGUUGGCAUCAGUAGCGAGAUGUGGGUGAGAAUCCCACAGGCCGAAAACCUAAGGUUUCCUCAGGAAGGUUCGUCCGCUGAGGGUUAGUCGGGACCUAAGCCGAGGCCGAAAGGCGUAGGUGAUGGACAACUGGUUGAUAUUCCAGUACCACUACCAUCGUUAUUAUCGAUGGCGUGACGCAGGAGGAUAGUGUGUGCUAGCUAUUGGAUGCUAGUCUAAGCGUUUAGGCAGUGAGAGUAGGCAAAUCCGCUCUCAUAAUGCUGAGGCGUGAUGGGGAAGGUUCUACGGAACCGAAGUACAUGAUUCCACGCUGCCAAGAAAAGCGUCUAGAGAGAGAAGUAGUGCCCGUACCGCAAACCGACACAGGUAGGUGAGGAGAGAAUCCUAAGGCCGGCGGAAGAAUUACAGUUAAGGAACUCGGCAAAUUGACCCCGUAAGUUCGCGAGAAGGGGUGCCUACGAGAGUAGGCCGCAGAGAAUAGGCCCAAGCAACUGUUUAGCAAAAACACAGGUCUCUGCUAAAGCGUAAGCUGAUGUAUAGGGGCUGACGCCUGCCCGGUGCUGGAAGGUUAAGGGGAACACUUAGCGCAAGCGAAGGUGUGAACUUAAGCCCCAGUAAACGGCGGCCGUAACUAUAACGGUCCUAAGGUAGCGAAAUUCCUUGUCAGGUAAGUUCUGACCCGCACGAAUGGCGUAAUGACUUGUGCACUGUCUCAACUGCAAAUCCGGCGAAGUUGUAGUGCGAGUGAAGAUGCUCGCUACCCGCGAUUGGACGGAAAGACCCCGUAGAGCUUUACUGUAGCUUAGCAUUGAGUUUUGGUAUUGUCUGUACAGGAUAGGUGGGAGACUAGGAAACCAGGGCGUCAGCCUUGGUGGAGUCAACCUUGGGAUACCACCCUGACAGUACUGAAAUUCUAACUGGCGGCCAUGAAUCUGGUCACAGGACAUUGUUAGGUGGGCAGUUUGACUGGGGCGGUCGCCUCCUAAAAAGUAACGGAGGCGCCCAAAGGUUCCCUCAGAACGGUCGGAAAUCGUUCGAAGAGUGUAAAGGCAGAAGGGAGCCUGACUGCGAGACCUACAAGUCGAGCAGGGACGAAAGUCGGGCUUAGUGAUCCGGUGGUACCUCGUGGGAGGGCCAUCGCUCAACGGAUAAAAGCUACCUCGGGGAUAACAGGCUGAUCUCCCCCAAGAGUUCACAUCGACGGGGAGGUUUGGCACCUCGAUGUCGGCUCGUCGCAUCCUGGGGCUGAAGUAGGUCCCAAGGGUUGGGCUGUUCGCCCAUUAAAGCGGCACGCGAGCUGGGUUCAGAACGUCGUGAGACAGUUCGGUCCCUAUCCGUCGCGGGCGUAGGAAAUUUGAGAGGAGCUGUCCUUAGUACGAGAGGACCGGGAUGGACUGACCUCUGGUGUACCAGUUGUUCCGCCAGGAGCACAGCUGGGUAGCUAAGUCGGGAAUGGAUAAACGCUGAAAGCAUCUAAGCGUGAAGCCAACCUCAAGAUGAGAUUUCCCAUAGCGUAAGCUAGUAAGAUCCCUUGA